rnacentral:rRNA from 1 species
GAUGAACGCUGGCGGCGUGCCUAAUACAUGCAAGUCGAGCGAACAGACGAGGAGCUUGCUCCUCUGACGUUAGCCGCGCACGUGUGAGUAACACGUGUAUAACCUACCUAUAAGACUGGUAUAACUUCGGGAAACCGGAUCUAAUACCGUAGAAUAUAUUGAACCGCAUUGUUCAAUGGUGAAAGACGGUUUUGCUGUCUCUUAUAGAUGGAUCCGCGCCGCAUUAGCUAGUUGUGAAGGUAACGGCUUACCAAGGCAAGGAUGCGUAGACGACCUGCGAGAGUGAUAGGCGACACUGGAACUGAGCCAGCGUCCAGGCUACUACGGGAGGCAGCAGACGGCAAUCUUCCGCAGUAGGCGAGAACAUGACGGAGCGAGGCCGAGUGAGAGACGACGAUGUUCGGAGCGUAAAAAUCGGUUAUUAGGGAUAAACAAAUGUGUCAGUAAAUAUAGACGUAUUGACGGUAACUAGUAAGAAAGCCACGGCUAACUACGUG